rnacentral:rRNA from 1 species
AGCUUGCUACCUGACCUAGCGGCGGACGGGUGAGUAAUGCUUAGGAAUCUGCCUAUUAGUGGGGGACAACAUUCCGAAAGGAAUGCUAAUACCGCAUACGCCCUACGGGGGAAAGCAGGGGAUCUUCGGACCUUGCGCUAAUAGAUGAGCCUAAGUCAGAUUAGCUAGUUGGUGGGGUAAAGGCCUACCAAGGCGACGAUCUGUAGCGGGUCUGAGAGGAUGAUCCGCCACACUGGGACUGAGACACGGCCCAGACUCCUACGGGAGGCAGCAGUGGGGAAUAUUGGACAAUGGGCGAAAGCCUGAUCCAGCCAUGCCGCGUGUGUGAAGAAGGCCUUUUGGUUGUAAAGCACUUUAAGCGAGGAGGAGGCUACUUGGAUUAAUACUCUAGGAUAGUGGACGUUACUCGCAGAAUAAGCACCGGCUAACUCUGUGCCAGCAGCCGCGGUAAUACAGAGGGUGCGAGCGUUAAUCGGAUUUACUGGGCGUAAAGCGUGCGUAGGCGGCUUUUUAAGUCGGAUGUGAAAUCCCUGAGCUUAACUUAGGAAUUGCAUUCGAUACUGGGAAGCUAGAGUAUGGGAGAGGAUGGUAGAAUUCCAGGUGUAGCGGUGAAAUGCGUAGAGAUCUGGAGGAAUACCGAUGGCGAAGGCAGCCAUCUGGCCUAAUACUGACGCUGAGGUACGAAAGCAUGGGGAGCAAACAGGAUUAGAUACCCUGGUAGUCCAUGCCGUAAACGAUGUCUACUAGCCGUUGGGGCCUUUGAGGCUUUAGUGGCGCAGCUAACGCGAUAAGUAGACCGCCUGGGGAGUACGGUCGCAAGACUAAAACUCAAAUGAAUUGACGGGGGCCCGCACAAGCGGUGGAGCAUGUGGUUUAAUUCGAUGCAACGCGAAGAACCUUACCUGGUCUUGACAUAGUAAGAACUUUCCAGAGAUGGAUUGGUGCCUUCGGGAACUUACAUACAGGUGCUGCAUGGCUGUCGUCAGCUCGUGUCGUGAGAUGUUGGGUUAAGUCCCGCAACGAGCGCAACCCUUUUCCUUAUUUGCCAGCGGGUUAAGCCGGGAACUUUAAGGAUACUGCCAGUGACAAACUGGAGGAAGGCGGGGGCGACGUCAAGUCAUCAUGGCCCUUACGACCAGGGCUACACACGUGCUACAAUGGUCGGUACAAAGGGUUGCUACCUAGCGAUAGGAUGCUAAUCUCAAAAAGCCGAUCGUAGUCCGGAUUGGAGUCUGCAACUCGAC